GCACCCGCACAAGCGGUGGAGCAUGCUGUUUAAUUCGAAAAUACGCGAAGAACCUUACCUAGACUUGACAUCCCGAGCAAAGCUAUAGAAAUAUAGUGGAGGUUACCUCGGUGACAGGUGGUGCAUGGUUGUCGUCAGCUCGUGUCGUGAGAUGUUUGGUUAAGUCCAACAACGAGCGCAACCCUCGUCAUUAGUUGCUAACAUUAAGUUGAGCUCUCUAAUGAUACUGCCGGUGUAAGCCGGAGGAAGGUGGGGAUGAUGUCAAAUCAUCAUGCCCCUUAUGUCUAGGGCUACAGGCGUGCUACAAUGGCCGAUACAACGAGUCGCAACACAGCGAUGUGAAGCAAAUCUCUUAAAGUCGGUCCCAGUUCGGAUUGGAGUCUGCAACUCGACUCCAUGAAGUUGGAAUCGCUAGUAAUCCCGAAUCAGAAUGUCGGGGUGAAUACGUUCCCGGGUGUU
rnacentral:rRNA from 1 species